ACAUUUUUCCCUACAAAUGGUCGGGUUUAUGUAUGGAGAACUCCAAAAGAAACGUACAAUCCGGACUGCCUGCUUCCUACAGUCAAGCAUAUAGAUGGUUCUGUUAUGAUACGGGCAGCCAUAUCGUGGUAUUCAGUUGGUCCAAUCAUUCAAAUGAGUGGCCAGAUUACUGCCAAUGACUAUCUCAAUAUCCUCAAUGAUAAAGUUCUUACGAGUUCUUACGCCCACUUCCACUUGUCUGGUACUGUAAAUAAACAAAAUUUCCACUACUAGGCAGUAGAAAACCCUCAGGAACUUCAUCAACGGCCACUUCACAGCUCAUAUGUGACAGUUUGGUGUGCAGUUACUGAUUUUGGUGUGUUAGGUCCAUAUUUUUUUGAAAAAUAUGGACUAAAAGUAACGGUUAAUUCGGAUCGCUACUAUCACAUGAUCGAAACUUGUCUCCGACCUAACCUAAACCAGGUUGCAAUGAACUAUGUAGAGGAAGAAGUCUGGUUUCAACAAGACGGAGCCACAGCUCACACUUCACUGCGUUCACUAGACAUUUUGAGGGAGUUGUUUCCUGGACGUUUUCUCUCUUUGCGAGGAGACAUCACCUGGCUCCCGAGGUCACCCGAUCUAUCACCUUGUGAUUAUUUUCUGUGGAAAGAUUUAAAGGCGCAAGUUUACAGACAUCAUCCCACAUCACUGCAAAUACUUAAGGAGGCAAUCACACAGUCGGUGGCUGCUAUUACACCGGCAAUAACAAAAAUAGUUAUGGAAAACUUCCG